GAGCCAACAGACAACACGAGGCGGUGUGGAGCAACAUGCCGUUUUAAUGAGCAGACGCACUGGGUGCUGGCGGGCUGAGGCCUAAAAUGGCGUCAGCCCCAAGUGAGGACAGGGCAAAGGUUUUAUAGUCUUCUGUAAACGGGAAGUGCCCUAGUCUGACGUAAUUGCUACGUUGCACCCGGAUGGCCUCUUUCUCGAUCUUCAGGGGUCCGUGUCUUCCAGCGAGGGAAGAAGGCUUUGUGGGGCUACUGGGGUCAUGAAGGCCUUUUCAAAGCACGCAUCACACCCAUGGGGAAGAGCCCCGUCCCCGCAAGGAAGGGCCUAAGAUGCAUGCAGAAUCCUUCACAGUAGGAAGGGAAGAAGCAACGUUCCCUGUCUAGCCGCCAGGCUGUUCUGGUGCUUCUACAGGAGAGUGUGGGGUAUGCAGUUUCAGGAUGAGUCAGAUACACUCUUAGCUCUGGAACUUCUGGAUCAAAGAGGGCAUGUACCUUCAAGGCCUCUGAGACAUAUAUCAAGUUGCCAUCCAGGGUCAACCUCCUAGAAUUUAACAUCGCAUCUGAAACCAAAAUCUAACUUCAGGAGCCCAGAGCAUUCACAGUUCCAGAAAGAGUGUGAUGAUGAUUUAGACUGGAGUGCCUCCAGGAAAGCAGGAAGCAAGACAUGUUUUUAACCUGGGUUAAAAACAUGGAGAAAGCUUGAGGCAGGGAGGAUCUCCUUACUGCAGAUAAAAAACCCAAGGCAGAGGCUGCUCAGCUCCUCAUUCUUUUCAUGUGGCCACCACUCGCCUGCUUGCCAGGAAGAGGAAGCUCGGCAGCCGGCUCUUCAUCAUGCCGACAAAAAACGCUGCUGUUACUGAAGAAGACAAAGAAACCACUUUUAAAGAUAAAAAGAGGUUUUGAAGCAUUACUUCGCAUUCUGCUUGUUCGGAUCUCAUGAGACAGUGAAGCAGGCCACUCAGUCCCAUGGUGUGGAUGCUGCCUCUGUCCAAUGAUACCUGACACCAGAUCAAGGGUUCUUCCCAGUAUAGACACCUCUCAGUUGGAAAGGGUUACAAUCAUCCCAAUUUGGAAAUCCCAUCAUCAAUUGUAAAACAGACCUCCCCAAGGUGAGAAGGGGCGGGGGAAUGUAGAGCUGAAUAUGAAAAUCUGAAGGACUGCAUGGUCUAAGAAUGAAAUGUUUUCUAAAUAAAAUUAAGCUACACGGUGGAAAUUGAGGAGAAAGUCCUUAAGGUGACUUUUAAAUGAAAAUGAAAUGUCUGUUAGUAAGUUACAGAGGUGCAAUGAUACCAAGUGGCAGGCUUGUGUCUUGUUAAUUUCAAACAUAGAUUUUUAUGUGAGGCUAUUUGAUUAUAAUUUGAUUAUCUGACCCUGUAAUUAAAGUUUAUUGCCAAUUUGGAAGCUUACAUGUAAAAUGAACUGGUUUUCUUCAAAGCAAUAUACAAUCUUUUGGACUCAUUGACUUCUGGUUUUGCAUUUAAAUGGAAAAGUCAGUUAUAACGUGACAAACAGGUUGGGGUUUUGAUCAUUAAUCCUGCUAAAGCAAUAUUCAUAAAUUCAAUUCUGAAUCAGUUGGAAUACUUUUCUUUUAUUAGUUUCUGUGUUAUUAAAUGAGAUUGUUUCUGACUAAUAUAUUUCUGGACUCAAACUGUAGCUCCAAGCUGUUAUUCAAAUCAAAUAACAUGCCCCUUACUUGUGCCUCGCACUAAUAAAUGCCAACUUGUGAUACAUUUGCAAGAGACUGUCAGCAAUAUUAAAGGAGGCAAUAAUGGCA